rnacentral:lncRNA from 1 species
UUUAAAUUUAUUUUUAAUUUCAUGUAUUCAGAGAAUACAUUUUGUAAUUUUAAAAUUUAUUGAGGAUUAUAUUUGGGCCCAGAAUAUGGUGUGUUAACAGUUUGAGUAGUUUCAAAAGCAUGACUACUCUGCUUUAACUUGUACGAAUGUUCUAUAAAUAUUAAUUAGGUCAGAUGUGUUGUUUGUCUUUUAUAUUCUGAUUUUCUGCCUCCUUGUUUUAUCAAUUGUUUACUUGUUUAUUAAUUAUUUGUAUGCUUGUUUUAUCACCUACUCUCAUGAAAAAUUAUACUACCGAGAAUAAACUCAGGAAUAGAAAAUAACAAAGCACACGACGAAAAGAAUCCGAAGAUACAACAUUUGAGAGGACUUAUGCCCCAAAUACUAGAGAAUAGAACAGUCUGAAGUGAUUUAAGAUCCCAGAAUGGAUGAUAAAUAUAAGGUUAACCUUAAUUAAGAUAUGUGAAUAUUUUACAGAAGAGACUCACUUAAGGGCUGUAGUCACAGGAAGAGGAAGAAACUGAACAGACAGCGAACAGAAGGCAAAUAUUAUAAGAAAAUCAACUUUGCUGAAGACAGACAUGGAAACAAUUUGUUGGACUACAAAUAAAAUAGCUAUAUCUUCUUUUGAGGCA